rnacentral:lncRNA from 1 species
GGGCUGAGUACAAGCAAAACAAGACCAAAGGAAGCUACCUGAGCAGGUAUUCCAGAUACUCAUGUCAUACACCAAGGUUGUACCAGUGCCCCUUUCUCUGUGACACAUCCAUCCACUGGAAACUUUCGUACAACUAGCUGAAAGAAGAGAAACAUCCUAUUUCAUGGGUGGAUAUCCUCCUCCACUGAAUGCAAACUAUUAAGUAAUGAAAAGACAGCACUCCAAGCAAUAUAGAUUUAUAGGCCAACCUGGCAAUCAAGGGUAACUGACAUGAAAAUGGAUUGCUUCACAUUUUAAUUACAAAGAUACUCUUCAGUACCAUAAAUUGAAGAAAACACUAACUUUUUGUGGCUACUGUAAUUGUCAAAGUAUAAUUACCUGUGUUUUCUCACCUACGUAUUUGAGAUAGAGACAAAACCAAGUAAGUUAAUCCACUUAUAAUAAAAAUGUCUUCUGAGAA